rnacentral:rRNA from 1 species
AUUAAACGCUGGCGGCAUGCCUUACACAUGCAAGUCGAACGGCAGCACGGGGGCAACCCUGGUGGCGAGUGGCGGACGGGUGAGUAAAGCAUCGGAACGUAUCCUGGAGUGGGGGAUAACGUAGCGAAAGUUACGCUAAUACCGCAUAUUCUGUGAGCAGGAAAGCAGGGGAUCGCAAGACCUUGCGCUCUGGGAGCGGCCGAUGUCGGAUUAGCUAGUUGGUGGGGUAAAGGCCUACCAAGGCGACGAUCCGUAGCGGGUCUGAGAGGAUGAUCCGCCACACUGGGACUGAGACACGGCCCAGACUCCUACGGGAGGCAGCAGUGGGGAAUUUUGGGACAAUGGGCGGAAGCCUGAUCCAGCCAUGCCGCGUGAGUGAAGAAGGCC